rnacentral:tRNA from 1 species
CGGCUUGCGGCUCGGCUUCAUGAGGCUUCCUUGCUUCACGGGUGAGGGGACCGGCGUGCGUGACGCUACAGGUCCA